rfam:Aedes albopictus isolate Foshan contig55379, whole genome shotgun sequence.
UGCUCUGUGGCUUAGUUGGUCAAAGCGCCGGUCUAGCGAAUACGGAGUCGUGGGUUCGAAUCCCACCAGAACGC